CUCCAAUCAGAAGACAGACGUUGGCAGAAUGGGGAAAGUGAUUCAACGGUAUACUGCCCCCCAGAGCCCUAGUUUAGGAGUGACGAGAGAGUCACGGUGGAGGCAGUUGUCGCCCGUCCCUCCCCUCGAAGUGACAAGUAAACAGACCGCCGUGGAGCAGCAGGCGUCCGACACCGCGCAGGGAACCCUGACGGACCCCACAGGUGCACCUCCCAGGGCGGCGCGCGGGCAGGCGGGCGGGAGCUGGGGAUCUGGCCCUCCUGCAGCAGCUGGGGGCGCGGACCCGCGCGCAGGGCCGGCGGGCGGAGCUUGGGGGGCGGGGCAGCCGCGGGGGCGCCCACUGGCGGCGGCCCUUCUGCGGGACCGCGCCCCGCCCAGCGCGACCAGGAGAGGAGGCGGCUGGGCGGCGACGCGCCCCCUGCGGCUGUGGCCCUGCCUGGAACGCCCAGCGGUCUGAACCUGCACACCAACAGGAGCAGGAGGGGUGGGAACAGGAGAUACAGCCCGUGCCGCCCCCAGCGGUGGAAGGCGGCAUCCGCACCCAGGAGCAACAGGGACUUCAGCACAGCUGGAAACCCAGCCCCCAGUGGCGGCAACCCCACACCAGCUCCACCAGCAGCAGGGGCUGUAAGUCCGCCGUCUCCGCCGACAGUGACAGUGACACCUGUGAACCAGCUCCGCUGGCAGCAGCGCAGCCAGCACCCCAGGACAUCCCGGGAGCAGCAGUGCAGGUGGUGCUGGGCCAGCAGCUCCGAAGCCUGUGGAGAGCCAGUGGAGGAGCCCGAGAGCCAGCUGAGCAGACCCGAGUAACCAGAGACAGGAGCGACCCAAGGGCCUUCAAUGAUGAAGGGAUAAAGAUGCGGUAUAUGUAUACAAUGGAAUAGUACUCAGCCAUAAAAAAGACGAAAUUCUGCCAUUUGCAACCACGUGGACGGACCUUGAGGAUAUUAUGAUAAGCAAAAUAAGCCAGACAGAGACAAACACCAUAUGAUUUCACUCAUGUGUGGAAGAUGAACAAAGAGACACAUAGAUAAAGAGAACAGAUUAGUGGUCACCAGAGGAGAAGGGGGGUGGGGCGAGAGGGGUAAAGGGGCACACAUGUAUGGUGACCGAUAAAAGCUAGACUAUUGGUGGACAUAAUGCCGUCUACACAGACACUGAUGUGUAACAAUGUGCACCUGAAAUUUACACUAUGUUAUACGCCAAUAUGACCUCAAUUAUAAAUAAAUGAAAGACUGACUUUAGAACCAAAGACACAAAUAGGUCAAAAGUGAAAGGAUCGAAAAAGAUGUUCCAAGCAAAUAGUAACCCAAGGCAGCAGGGGCGCUUAGGCUCAUGUUAUGACAAAAUAGACUUGAUCUUUCUUCUGGACUGACCUGUGAUUGACACAUAACAUUGAGUAAGCUUAAGGUAUACGAUGUGAUGAUUUUAGACAUGCAAAGUGAUCACCACAAUGAAGUUAGUUAGCACUCCCUUCACCCCGCAGAAUUACCAUUUGUUGUUAUGGGGAGAACAUUUGAGAUCUACUCUCUCAUCCACUUUCAAGUAUUCAAUACAGUAUUGUCGGUUGUAAUCACCAUGCUGUACAGUAGAUCUCAGAAGUGAUUCCUCUUCUAACUGGCAGUUUGUAACCUUUGACCAACAUCUCCUCAUUUCCCGCACCCCCCAGCCCCUGGAAACCACAAAUCUACCCUUUGCAUGAUUUUGGCUUUUUUAGAUUCCACAUGUAAGUGAUAUCAUACAGUGUUUGUCUUUCUCUGUCUGACUUACCUCACUUAGUACAAUGCCCUGAAGGUCCAUCUAUGUUGUCACAAAGGCAGAAUGUCCUUCUUUUUGUGGGUGAAUAAUAUUCCAUGGUGUGUAUACAUCAAAUGUUCUCUAUCCGUUCAUCCGUUGAUGGACGUUUAGUUUGUUUCCGUGUCUUGGCUACUGUGAACAAUGCUGCAAUGAACAUGGGGGUGCAGACAUCUCUGUGAGAUAGUGAUUUCCAUUCCUUUGGAUAAAUACCCAGAAGUGACAUGGCUAGGUCACAUGGUAGUUCUGUUUUUAUUCUUUUGAGGAAACUCCAUACUGUUUUCCGAAGUGUCUGUACCAUUUACAUUCCCACCAACAAGACACAAAGGUUCCUUUUUCUCCACAUUUUUGGGAGCAAUUGUUAUCUCUUGUCUUUUUAAUGACAGCCAUUCUAACAGCUGUGAGGUGAUAUCUCAGUGGGGCUUUGGUUUGCAUUUCCCUGAUGAUUAGUGAUGUUGAGGAUCUUUUCAUGAACCUAUUGACCAAUUCAGUAUCUUCUUUGAAAAAAUGUCUACUCAGGUCCUUUGCCCAUUUUGUAAUCAGAUUAUUUGAUUUUCUAUUGAUUUGUCUAGGUUCCUUACAUAUUUUGGAUAUUGAUCCCUUAUCAACAUAUGGUUUGCAAAUAUUUCCCCCCAUUCAUAGGUUGUCUUUUCAGUUUAUCAAUUGUUUCUUUUGCUUUACAGAAGCAAAAGAAUGUUGUCACACUUGUUAAUUUUUGUUUUUGUUACCUGUGCUUUUGGUGUCAUAUCCGAAAAAAUCAUUGCCAAGAUCAGAUCAAGGAACUUUGUCUCUAUGUUUUCUCCUAGGAGUUUUAUGGUUUCAGGUCUUAAUUUAAGUCUGUAAUCCACUUCAAGUUAAUUUUUGUGACUGGUGUAAGAUAGGGGUCUAAUUUCAUUCUUUUCCAUGUUAAUAGCCAGUUUUCAUGCCACCAUUUUUUGGAGAGACAGUCCUUUCUCCAUUGAGUAUUCUUGUCUCCCUUGGCAAAUAUUAGUUGAGUGUAUGUGUGUGGGUUUAUUUCUGGGUUCUUCACUCUCUUACGUUUGUCUAUGUGUCUGUUUUUAUGUGAGUACCAGACUGCUGUGAUUACUCUCGCUUUGUAUUUUAGUUUGAAAUCAGGACGUGUGAUGCCUCUGGCUGUGUGCUUUCUUGGGAUUGCUUUGGCUGUUUGGUUCUUUUAUGGUUCUGUAUGAAUAUUAGGAUUAUUUUUCCAUUUCUGAGAGAAACACCAUAGGAAUUUUGCUGGGGAUUGCAUUGACUCCAUAGGUGACUUUGGGUAAUAUGGACAUUUUAACAGCAUUAAUUCUUCCAAUCCAUGAACAUGGAAACUUUCCAUUUAUUUGUGUCUGCUUCAAUUUCUUUCAUCAAUAACACAGAGUUUUCAGUCUACAGAUCUUUCACUCACUUGGUUGAAUUUAUUUCUAAGGAUUUUAUUGUUUUUGGUGCUAUCGUGACUGGGAAUGUUUUCUUUUUUCUUUUUCAGAUACUUAAUUGUUAGCAUAUAGAAAAGGAACUGAUUUUUUUGAAUGAUUUUGUAUCCUGGAACUGAUCUGACUCUGUUUAUUAGUUCUAACAGUUCUCUGGUGGAGAACUUAGGCAUUUCUAUCUAUAAGAUCAAAUCACCUGCAAACAGAGACCAUUUUACUUCUUCCUUUCUGAUUUAAUGCCUUUUACUACUUUUUCUUGCCUAAUUUCUCUGGCUGGGACUUCCAGUACUAUGUGGAAUAGAAGUGGUGAGAGUGGGCAUCCUUGUCUUGUUCCUUAUCUUAAAGGAAAAUCUUUCAACCUUUCACCAUUGAGUGUGAUGUUAGCUGUGGGCUUGUUAGAUAUGUUCCUUCUAUGUCCAAUUUGCUGAGAAUUUUUAUCCUGAAAGGAUACUGAAUUUUGUCAAAUGCUUUUUCUGCAUCUUUUGCGAUGACUGUAUGAUUUUAUCCUUCAUUCUAUUAAUGUUGUGUAUCAUACUUAUUGGUUUUCAUAUGCAGAACCAUCUUAGCAUGACAGGAAUAAAUUCUACUCGAACGUGGUGUAUGAUCCUUUUAGUGUACUUUUAAAUUUGGUUUCCUAGUAUUUUGUUGAGAAUUUUUGCAUCUAUUUUCAUCAAGGAUAUUAAGCUGUACUUUUCUUGUAAUGUCUUUAUCUGACUUUGGUAUUAGGAUAAUUUUGGCCUUAUAAAAUCAGUUUGGGUGUGUUCCCUCCUCUUCAAUAUUUUGCAAGAGUUUGAGAAAUAUUGGCAUUAAUUCUUUAAAUGUUUGGUAGAAUUCACCCAGGAAACCUUCUGAUUCUGGGCUUUCUUCAUUGUGAGGGUUUUGUUUGUUUGGUUUGGGCGUUUUUUUUGGAUAGUGUGGAGCGAUUCCUGGCCUGUUUUUUUUUCUUCUCAGUGUGCUUUUUUUUUGGUGAGGAAGAUUAGCCCUGAGCUAAGGUCUGUUGCCAAUUUUCCUCUUUUUCUUUCUCCCCAAAGCCCCAGUACGUAGUUGUAUAUCCUAGUUGUAUAUCCUUGUAGCUCUUCUGUGGGUCGCCACCUCAGCAUGGCUUGACGAGCAGUGCUAGGUCCAUACCCAGCAUCCAAACCAGCAAACCCUGGUCUACCGAAACAGAGCACCCGAACCUAACACUAUGUCACUGGGCUGGGCCAUGUUGAGAGGUUUUUGAUUACUGAUUCAAUUUUCAUACUUGUUAUUGGCCUGUUCAGAUUUUCUAUUUCUUCAUGACUCAGUCUUGGUAAAUUUUACAUUUCUAGGAAUUAGUCAUUUCUGUUAAGUUAUCCAACAUGUUGACGUAUAAUUAUUCAUAGUAGUCUCUUAUGAUCCUUUCUAUUUCUGUGGUAUCAGUUCUAGUGUUUCCUCUUUCAUUUCUGAUUUUAUUUAUUUGAGUUUUCUCUUUUUUUCCUAGUUAGUUUAGCUGAUGAUUUGUCAAUUUUGUUUAUCUUUUCAAAAUGUCAACUCUUAAUUUUGUUGAUCUUUUGCAUUGUUUUUCUAGUCUAUAUUUCAAUUAUUUCUGCUUUGAUCUUUUUUAUUUCCUUCCUUCUACUAACUUUGGGCUUUGUUUGUUCUUGUUUUUCUAAUUCCUUGAGAUGUAAGGCUAGGUUGUUUAUUUGGGAUCUUUCUCUUUUCUUAAUGUGGGUGUUUAUCACAGUAAACUUCCCUCUUAGAACUACUUUUGCUGCAUCCCAAGUUUUGGUAUUUUAUGUUUCCAUUUUCUUUUGUUUCAAGAUAUUUUUCUAUUUCCCUUUUGACAUCUUCUUUGACCCACUGCUUGCUCAGAAGUGUGUUGUUUAGUUUCCACACAUUUGUGAAUUUUCCAGUUUUCCUCUUGUUAUUGAUUUCUAGUUUCUUACCUUUAUGGUCUGAAAAGACACUUGGUAACUUCAAUCUUCAUACAUUUGUUAAGGCUUGUUUUGUAGCUUAACAUAUGAUGUAUGCUAGAGAAUGUUCUGUGUGUGCUUGAGAAGAAUGUUAUUCUGCUGUUGGAUGCAAUGGUCUGUGUAUGCCUGUUAGGUCCAGUUGGUUAUGAGAGGAAUGUUAUUCUGCUGUUGGAUGGAACAUUCUGUGUAUGCCUGUUAGGUCCAGUUGGGUAUGAGAAGAAUGUUAUUGUCCUGCUGUUGGGUGGAAUUGUCUGUGUAUGCCUGUUAGGUCCAGUUGGUUAUGAGAAGAAUGUUAUUGUGCUGCUGUUGGGUGGAAUGGUCUGUGUAUGCCUGUUAGGUCCAGUUGGUUAUGAGAAGAAUGUUAUUCUGUUGCUGUUGGGUGGAAUGGUCUGUGUAUGCCUGUUAGGUCCAGUUGGGUAAGGUACAAUUCAAGUGCAAUGUUUCCUUAUUGAUCUAUCCAUUGUGGGAAGUAGGGAUAAAAUUCUCCUACUAUUAUGGUACUGUCGUCCAUUUCUCCCUUCAGGUUUCUUAGUAUUUGCUUAAUUUAUUUAGGUCAUCUGAUGUUGGGUUCAUAUAUACUCACAGUUGUUAUAUUCUUUUGAAGAAUUGACCCCUUUAUCAUUUCUAAUGACCUUCUUUGUCUCUUGUUACAACUUUUUACCUGGUCUAUUUUGUCUGUAAUGCUACUCCUGCUCUAUUUGGUUCCAUUUGUGUGGAAUGUCUUUUUCCAUCCCUUCACUUUGAGCCUAGGUGUGUCCUCAAAGCCAAAGUGAGUCUCUUGUGGGCAGCUACAGUUAGGUCUUGUUUUUGAAUCCAUUCAGCCACUCGAUGCCUUUUGAUUGGAGAAUUUAGUCCAUUUACAUUUAAAGUAAUUAUUGAUAGGAACUUACAAAUGCUAUCUUGUUCACUGUUUUCUGCUCUUCUUGUUCCUUUCUUCUUCUUUGAUUGUCUUUCUUUGUGAAUUGAUUAUUUUCCAUAGUGGUGUCCUUUAAUUCCCUUCUCCUUAUCUUUUCUGUAUUUACUGUAGGUUUUUAUUUUGUGGUUAAUCUGAGGCUUCCAUAAAACAUAUCAUAGAUAUAACAGUCUAUUUUAACCUGAGCAACUUAACUCAAUCACACACAAAAACUCUACCGUUGCACUCCCUCUUCAUUUUUUAUGUUUUUGAUAUCACAAUUUACCUUUUUAUAUUGUGAAUCCAUUCAAAAAUUAUUGUAGCUAUAGUUAUUUUUAAUACUUUUGUCCUUUAAACCUUUAUACCAGAGUUAAGUGAUUAACAUAACACCAACUUACAGUAUUAGCAUACGUUGAAUUUGAUUAUAUACUUACCUUUACCAGCGACGUUUAUAUCUUCACAUUUUCAUGAUACUAAUUAGUCUCCUUUCAUUGCACCUUGAAGAACUCCUUUCAGCAUGUCUUGUAAGGCGGGUCUAGCUGUGAUGAACUAUCUCAGAUUUGUUUGUCUGGAACAGUUUUUAUUUCUCUUUCAUAACUGAAAAACAAUUUUUCCAGAAAACAUAUCCUUGGUUCACAGUUUUUUUCUUUCAGGACUUUGAAUAUAUCACCCCACUCAACCUGACCUGCAAGGCUUCUGCUCAGAAGUCUGCUGAUAGCCUUGUGGGGGUUCUCUCAAAUGAGAGAAAUAUUUUUCUCUUUCUGCUUUCUAGACUCUCUCUUUGUCCUUGAUCUUAGACAGUUUUAUUGUAACGUGAUAUAGAGAGAAUAUAUAGAAGGUGGCUUGUGUCAAAAUUUGGGAGUGACUCUUUAGUUUCAUGAACUUGGACGUCCAAAUCUUUCCCCAGAUUUGCGAAGUUCAGGCAUUAUUUCCUUCAAUAAGCUUUCGGCUCCUUUCUCCCUCUCUUCUCCUUCUAGGACUCCAAUGAUGCCUAGAUUGUUUCCUUUUGAGAAUGAUUCACUACUUCUUUCUUCUGCUUGGCUGAGUCUACAGUUGAAGCACUCUGCUGAGUUCUUCAGUUCAGUCAUUGUAUUUCUCAACUUUGGGAUUUCUGUUUGCAUUUUUUUAAUGAUUUCAAUUUUUUAAUUAAACUUCUCAUUUUUUUCAUGCUUUAUUUUCUGAAUUUCAUUUCGUUGUCUAUCUGUUUUCUUGUAGUUCACUGAAUUUCUUUAAGAGGAUUAUUCUGAAAACGUUGUACAGCUGCUGCAUAG
rnacentral:lncRNA from 1 species